UGUUAAAAUUUUGAUUCAUUUCUACUGUUAGAAACUAAAACAACUGACGAAAUAAUGCCAUACGUGUACUUAAUGUUGAUGUACAAUGAUCGAUUUUUAACAGUAGCAAUAGAUGAAAUUUUUAACA
rnacentral:pre_miRNA from 1 species